rnacentral:rRNA from 1 species
CCUACGGGAGGCAGCAGUGGGGAAUAUUGCACAAUGGGGGAAACCCUGAUGCAGCGACGCCGCGUGAGUGAAGAAGGCAUUCGUUAUGUAAAGCUCUAUCAGCAGGGAAGAAAAUGACAGUAUCUGUGCAUGAAUCCCUGGCUAACUACGUGCCAGCAGCCGCGGUAAUACGUAGGGGGCAAGCGGUCUCCGGAUGUACUGGGUGUAAAGGGAGCGUAGACGGCUGUGCAAGUCAGGAGUGAAAGGCGUGGGCUCAACCGCCGGACUGCUCUUGAUACUGUACGGCUGGAGUGCAGGAGAGGUAAGUGGAAUUCCUGGUGUAGCGGUGAAAUGCGUAGAUAUUAGGAGGAACACCGGUGGCGAAGGCGGCCUACUGGACUGUAACUGACGUUGAGGCUCGAAAGCGUGGGGAGCAAACAGGAUUAGAUACCCUGGUAGUC